rnacentral:rRNA from 1 species
ACGUAGGCAGCGAGCGUUGUUCGGAAUUACUGGGCGUAAAGAGUGUGUAGGUGGUGCUCUAAGUUCGGUGUGAAAUCUCCCGGCUUAACUGGGAGGGUGCGCCGAAAACUGGAGUGCUCGAGCGUGGGAGAGGAAAGCGGAAUUCCUGGUGUAGCGGUGAAAUGCGUAGAUAUCGCUUGGAACGCCGAAGGUGAAAACAGGUUGCUGGGGUUGUGCCGACGCUGAGACACGAAAGCCAGGGGAGCAAACGGGA